rnacentral:rRNA from 1 species
AAAUUGAAGAGUUUGAUCAUGGCUCAGAUUGAACGCUGGCGGCAGGCCUAACACAUGCAAGUCGAACGGUAACAGGAAUCAGCUUGCUGUUUCGCUGACGAGUGGCGGACGGGUGAGUAAUGUCUGGGAAACUGCCUGAUGGAGGGGGAUAACUACUGGAAACGGUAGCUAAUACCGCAUAAUGUCGCAAGACCAAAGAGGGGGACCU